rnacentral:lncRNA from 1 species
GGUGGAAGAAACAUUUUGCUUUUCCCAGACCACGAGAAUUGAUGAAAUAUUAAUUCAGUGCCUGACUUCCCUACUUGACUGAAGUGUAUAUCAGUUCACUGCAGUUAGAGAGGUAUGGCAGCUUCAAACUAUAAUUCUUUCCUGGUACCCUCAGGAGCAGAGUGUGUUUUUCAAUGUCCAUUAGAAAGUGAAGCUGAGUCUCAGGGUAUGAAGCAGUUGAUUUUCUUGGUCCAAGAAAGACAUCAUCCUGGCCAGUCUUGCUGCUAAUCUGAUGAUCUGUACCUCUGCAUGUAAGUUUGAGAGCUGGAUUUACCCAUACAACAUAAGUUAUCUACAGUUCUCGAUAUAUUCCUUUUGUUAGAAAUGCCAUUAUCCACUGAAGAUGCCAAACUGCAUAUCCCAAGAGAAUGCAGUUUAUCAUAAAGAUCUCAGCUGAACUGAUAGAGAUCGCAGAUUAUAAAGUUUAUGCAGUACAGGACUGAGCUGAACUUCAUUAAGAAAUACUGAACAAAGAACCUUACUAUGCUAUUUUCAGACUUGGUUUUCAGAGGGUAACUGAACAUUUAGCUACAUUAAGGCAUUUUUCUUGCCCUUAACAGAUGAGAUUUUUUUUUGUCCUGUCACCAGCUGGUGACCAGCUGAUGUCCUAGUUCAUGAAGAUAGCUUUUUUUUUUUGAUAGCUUUUAGUUCUGUGCAAUGUUGAGUCUUACAAAAUGUUAAUCUGACUUUAGCCUUACAUUGGAAUUUCUGAUAAAUAUUUUGCUGAAGUGAGUUUCUUGGGUUAACUAUCUCUUGCAAGAAUAACAAUGCCUGUUUUAAAAGUACUGUUUUUAAAUGUCAGACUACCUUCUGGUGCCUAUACUAUAGAAAUAAGUAUACCAGAAAUAAGUAUACUAGAAUAUGUAGCAUGCUUUCACUGCAUCUUCUAUUUUUUUGUUCACUACUUUCUGUUUUAAUUCUUAAUGUCUACUUCCAAAUAAUAGAAGAAUAAGCUCACCCACUAC